rnacentral:rRNA from 1 species
UACGUAGGGGCAAGCGUUGUCCGGAAUCAUUGGGCGUAAAGAGCGUGUAGGCGGCCCGAUAAGUCCGCCGUGAAAGUCCAGGGCUCAACCCUGGGAUGCCGGUGGAUACUGCAGGGCUAGAGUCCGGAAGAGGCGAGUGGAAUUCCUGGUGUAGCGGUGAAAUGCGCAGAUAUCAGGAAGAACACCCGUGGCGAAGGCGGCUCUCUGGACGGUACUGACGCUGAGACGCGAAAGCGUGGGGAGCGAACAGG